UGGGGAAUAUUGCACAAUGGAGGGAACUCUGAUGCAGCGACGCCGCGUGAACGAAGAAGGCUUUCGAGUCGUAAAGUUCUUUUAUAUGGGAAGAUAAUGACGGUACCAUAAGAAAAAGCCCCGGCUAACUACGUGCCAGCAGCCGCGGUAAUACGUAGGGGGCUAGCGUUGUCCGGAAUCACUGGGCGUAAAGGGUUCGCAGGCGGAAAUGCAAGUCAGGUGUAAAAGGCAGUAGCUUAACUACUGUAAGCAUUUGAAACUGCAUAUCUUGAGAAGAGUAGAGGUAAGUGGAAUUUUUAGUGUAGCGGUGAAAUGCGUAGAUAUUAAAAAGAAUACCGGUGGCGAAGGCGACUUACUGGGCUCAUUCUGACGCUGAGGAACUAAAGCGUGGGUAGCAAACAGG
rnacentral:rRNA from 1 species